rnacentral:miRNA from 1 species
AGUAUGAUUGCUGGAUUACAUUAUAAGAAUAUGUUUUGUUUUGUAAGCAACUGCUAAACUGUCUUCCAAAGACAUUUUGCAUUUCCACCAGCAAU